rnacentral:rRNA from 1 species
CAGUAGCCGCGGUAAUACGUAGGUGGCAAGCGUUGUCCGGAAUUAUUGGGCGUAAAGGGCUCGCAGGCGGUUUCUUAAGUCUGAUGUGAAAGCCCCCGGCUCAACCGGGGAGGGUCAUUGGAAACUGGGAAACUUGAGUGCAGAAGAGGAGAGUGGAAUUCCACGUGUAGCGGUGAAAUGCGUAGAGAUGUGGAGGGACACCAGUGGCGAAGGCGACUCUCUGGUCUGUAACUGACGCUGAGGAGCGAAAGCGUGGGGAGCGAACAGGAUUAGAUACCCGUGUAGUCCCUGUCUCUUAUAA